AGAAAUCUCUGACAGAACCAGGCUCAGAGAUGUGCGGUCAUCUGCCUCGACCUGUCGGGGUGAAAGGAAAAUGGGGGACAGCGGAGAGGUGGGGGAGAGAAAGGACAAGAUCACCACAUCCUGUUGCACAGGUCUCUCCUGUAUCCGGGGCGGUAACGUAUUGUGUCACUUCCUGUGCUUCCACUGGUGUUACGCUGUGUGCCUUCUGCGCUCUCUGCGGUUUUCUAUCUACUGGAACGAUCGACUGUUCUAACUGAACAAACGCUCGUUUUUAUUACUAAUACUAGUACUAAGACUAAUAUUCUCACCCACUACUUUUGUUCAAACUCUAUCGUUUACGUAGAUCACGUACGGUGUUUCUCUCUCUGCUAGCGUAAAGUUAGCUUAGCAGCGAUGGCUUCUCCCUCUCCUUCUCCUUCUCCUGCUCUCUCCUGUGUUGUGUGCCACAUGUUUAGCUACUCCUCUGCCUCCUUUAGCGAUAAAAGUACUUGUAAAAAAUGUAGCUUGCUGGCUAGGGCGGAGGCGAGGCUUAGUGAAGUAGAAACUCGGCUCCGCACCAUAGAAGCUAAAUCAGUUAGCCACUCCCCAGUAGUCGGUGCGGACCACAUAGCAUUAGCUCCCUCAGCAGCUCCCGUGCAGCCGGGAGACAAACAGGGCAGCUGGGUGACUGUCCGCACUAAGAGGCGUAGUGUUAAGCCUAAGAGUCCUGUCCACCACCAAACUGUUCACACCUCAAACAAGUUUUCCCCUCUCAGCACCACACAGACUGAGAAACCAACUCUGGUGAUUGGUGAUUCCAUCCUGAGGAACGUGAAAAUAGCGACGCCAGCGACCACAGUCAAGUGUUUUCCCGGGGCCAGAGCGGGCGACAUAGAAUCUUAUCUGAAACUGCUGGCUACAGAUAAACGUACAUUCAGUAAAGUUAUUAUUCACGUCGGCAGUAAUGACACCCGAUUACGCCAAUCGGAGGUCACGAAAGUUAAUGUUAAGUCUGUGUGUAGGUACGCACAAUCUAUGUCGGACAACGUAAUUUUCUCUGGUCCUUUGCCCAAUGUAACCAGUGAUGACAUGUAUAGCCGCAUGUCAUCAUUCAAUCGCUGGCUGUCGAGGUGGUGUCCAGAAAACAACAUUGGGUUUUUAGAUAACUGGCAAAACUUCUGGGGGAAACCUGGUCUCAUGAAGAGAGACGGCGUCCAUCCUACUUUGGAUGGAGCAGCUCUCUUAUCUAGCAGCUUAGAGCAUUUUAUUAGAAACCCAUGACAAACCAGAGUUGAGACCAGGACACAGAGUUGCAGUCUUCCAUGCUUCUCUGUGCUUCUUUACGAGCAGUCACCAAUUAAAAACCCCAUAGAGACUGUGUCUGUCCCUCGACCUACUAAAGUAAAAACUAAAGUAAAUAAAUCAAUAACAAACAGAAGAGGAGUUAGACAUUCUAACUUAAUAAAGAUUAAUACUAACAAUAAAAUAGAGUCAAAUAAUACCACUUUUAAAUGUGGACUAUUAAAUAUUAGGUCUCUCUCCUCAAAAUCUGUUUUAAUAAAUGAUCUCAUUUCUGGCAAUUGUAUUGAUUUAUUCUGUGUAACUGAAACUUGGUUACAUGAAGAAGAUUACGUUAGUCUAAAUGAGUCAACUCCACCCACUCAUGCUAAUACCCAUAUUCCUAGAAGCUCAGGCCGAGGAGGAGGUGUAGCAGCCAUUUUUAAUACUAGAUUAUUAAUCAAUCCCAAACCCAAACUAGGAUAUUCAUCGUUUGAAAGCCUUAUUCUUAACCUAGCUCAUCCUAGUUGGAAAUCACAAAAACCAGUUAUGAUAGUCACAGUUUAUCGUCCACCUGCUCCUUAUUCAGAGUUCCUAUCAGAGUUCUCUGAGUUCUUAUCUGAGUUGGUGCUUAAGACAGAUAAAAUCAUAAUUGUAGGGGAUUUCAACAUCCAUAUAGAUGUUGACCGUGAUAGUCUUAGCUGCGCAUUUAACUCGCUGUUGGAAUCAAUAGGUUUUAUUCAACACGUUAAUAAACCAACUCAUUACCUUAAU